CCUACGGGCGGCAGCAGUGAGGAAUAUUGGUCAAUGGACGAGAGUCUGAACCAGCCAAGUAGCGUGAAGGAUGACUGCCCUAUGGGUUGUAAACUUCUUUUAUAUGGGAAUAAAAUGUUCCACGUGUGGGAUUUUGUAUGUACCAUAUGAAUAAGGAUCGGCUAACUCCGUGCCAGCAGCCGCGGUAAUACGGAGGAUCCGAGCGUUAUCCGGAUUUAUUGGGUUUAAAGGGAGCGUAGGUGGAUUGUUAAGUCAGUUGUGAAAGUUUGCGGCUCAACCGUAAAAUUGCAGUUGAAACUGGCAGUCUUGAGUACAGUAGAGGUGGGCGGAAUUCGUGGUGUAGCGGUGAAAUGCUUAGAUAUCACGAAGAACCCCGAUUGCGAAGGCAGUUCACUGGACUGCAACUGACACUGAGGCUCGAAAGUGUGGGUAUCAAACAGGAUUAGAUACCCGAGUAGUC
rnacentral:rRNA from 1 species